UUUACCCCCCCCACACCCCAUUAACAACUCAAGGUGAAUUAAAGGACCCCAUAAAGAUAAGGACCCCAAACCCCAGAACCCCAUUGGUCGAUCCCCUUAUCAAUUAACGCCCCGCGAGAUAACGACGGGCCAAUAGAUCCCAUCCAACCCCUAAUUACGACCCCAUAAAUCCCAUAAAACCCCCAAUUAUGACCCAAUAAAUCCCAUAGAACGAGGAAUUACCACCCAAAGGGCACAAAGGGAGGGAAGGGAACCCAAAAGAUGGGCAAAUGGAGCAGGUUGGAGGUUGUGCUGAGCGUCCUGUUCUGUGUCGCCGUGGUCGUGGCCUGUGUCCUCAUUGGGGUCCUGGCCACUAAAAAGAGUGAAAAUAGGGGCGAAUUCGCCCCAAAUUGCCCCAAUAUCCAAAUAUCCCAAAGGAUCGACUGCAUCCCGGAUUUAGUGGCCACUAAGGUGAGAAAAUGACCCAAAAUCGGCCUUUUUUAGCCCAAAAAUUACCCCUUAUCAACCUCCCUUAUCAGUUCCAUUGGGGUCCCUUAUCAACCUUUGAUAUUGAUAAGGGAGCCCUUAUCACAAGGCUCCCAUUCAUUGCCCUAUUAAUUAAAGGGGGAAGAUUUUGGGGUAAAAUGAGGCUAAAUUGGUAAAAAAGAAGCCAAAAAACGCCAUUUUUGGAUGUUUUUAACCCAAAAACACAUCAAACUCUUUAAUUCACCCCAUAAAACCCCAUAAAAGCCCAUAAAACCCCAUAAAAACCCCAAAAAACACCAUUUUGGGGGUAAAAAACACCAUUUUUGGGUAAAAAACACCAUUUUUGGGGUAAAAAUUGACAAUUUUGGGGUAAAAAUCCACUUUUUUAGGGUUAAAAACCACAAUUUUGGGGUUAAAAACACCAUUUUGGGUUAAAAAAACACCAUUUUUGGGUAAAAAACCACCAUUUUUGGGGUAAAAACCAUCAUUUUUGGGGUAAAAAUCCACAAAUUGGGGGUUAAAAACACCAUUUUGGGGUAAAAAUCCACAAUUUGGGGGCAAAACCCACCAUUUUUGGGGUAAAAAUCGACAAUUUGGGUAUAAAAAUCUACAAUUUGGGGUUAAAAAACCACAAUUUUGGGGUUAAAAACCCAAAUUUUGGGGUAAAAAAUCCACAAUUUGGUGUAAAAACCACAAUUUUGGGGUAAAAACCCAUUAUUUAGGGGGUAAAAAUCGACAAUUUUGGGGUAAAACCCACCAUUUUUGGGGUAAAACCCACCAUUUUUGGG
rnacentral:lncRNA from 1 species